rnacentral:lncRNA from 1 species
GAUAACUGUACGAAGGAUGAAAAGGAAGGAAACUUGUCACACCCGAAUUUAAGGGGUAAACGCGGGUACAUCUUAUAUGUGCGCUAAAGAAGAACAACCCAUAUAAUGACCAAGUGUAUAGAGAUAAAUAUCGCAAACAUUUUUACAAAGUGGAAGUGUCUUAUAAAGAUAAAUCAUAACAAUAAACCGAACUAAUAUUAUUUCCUUGGCGCCAUUAAGUCAACUGGGAGACGACUCCUAGACCUCGUCAAACUCCUCGUAGCAGUCGUCCUCCUGGGCUACCUGCUCUUCACCUGUGGGGGGGAGAGUUUUAUCGCAGGAGUGAGCUCACAAAAGUUCAUCGCUCAGCAAGUGUGGGGAAUAAUGUGUAUAAGCUCACCAAAAGCGGGGGGCUCAUGUAUGGUAUUAGGCUGAUCAAUAAAUAAUGGUUAAGGCAAAGCAUUGCUUUUAAUAAGUUGGUCAAGUUUUAUUAGCAGUUACUAAGUAUAAGUAAAUACCAACCUAAAUAAUGAGAGAUCAAAAUUAAUAAAUAAACCACAAUGCGAUGCAAAUGACCAAUUAAGUUUAAUUCCAUAAGUUACUCAUGUGAGGGUCCGAGCCGCUCAUGACCGUGAGCACGACCGAUAUACCAGUUUUAUACUCUGUAGAGGUUGCACAUCUUUACCCAUAAGUCAUGUUACCCAUCUGCCAUGGGGUUGUACGGACCCCAUACACCUCUACGAAGGAGGCGAGGCAGGGUAGCACUACGAGGCCUUUAUAAAGUUCCAUUAGCUUUAGAAAACCCGCUACAUUUUCUGAGGAGAGCAAUAUAGGAAUCCCCUAUCUGAAAAGACAUCGCAGUAAGAUCAACCUGAGAACCACCCUACACCGACACUCCCCUACCGCCCUUGCCCCUUUUGGGUAAGGUAGUCCUCCACUAGCUUUCCUAAUUAGUCACCAAGGGUGUCCCAUACCACCCUUGUAGUAGCACUGUUUUCUUGGGUGGUUCUCCAUGUUCUAAUUAACAUAAUGAUCUUGUCAUGAACAAUAAAUAACUCAUUGGCAAUGAAUAGCAUGAUCAUGAAUAAUGUGUAUCUUAACACCUAAAACCACAUAAAGCAAUAGCACAUACUACCCAAAAGUUCAAUGGUAAACAAGGUAUAAAGAUGACCAAUCUAGGAUGACCUAUUGGGUCCCAGCAAAAUUAACCUAUGCAGAUCAUAAUGAUUAACAAGAACAUUAUUGGAUAAAGAAAAGUGAUCAAGGGCACAACUUGCCUUCAAUGAGCUCCUGCUCGGAGUUUUCCACCUGCUGAGUACCAGGGUCCUCGGUCACUUGUUCGUCUACUCGCAACAAUACAAAGAAACAUGGUAUAGGACAUAUUAACAUCAUACCAAACAUAAGAACAUACCGCAUAAUAAUGUUCUACGCAUCGUAACGAGAUCGCAGGUUCGAGAACCACUAAAUUUGGAGUUACGAUUAAAGAGUUAUGAUUUUUUGAUGAUUUAGGUGUGGGACAUAAAACAAAUUAAGUGCAUGAUUUUAACCAUAUGUUUCAUAACAAAAUAAGGUUACUAGAAGAUAAACAAUAUUAAUAUGAAUUUAAUGCAUCUGGAAUGGAUAAAAAGGAGUUAAAAAUGAAUUACUUAUGAAUUAAACAAGUUUCUAAAAUUAUUUCUAUACUAAAAAACAUUUUCUGAAUUAAUUUAUUCCAUUUAUUCACUUCCUGGGCUGUGACUAGGAUUUUCUAAUAGCUCAAGGUCUAUUUUGUGAAUUUCAGGGCCUAGUCAUAAUUUCUUUUGAACUAAUCUGGAUGGCAGGUUGAUAACUAAAUUAGGUAGGGGCCCUUUUACAAAGCGUCACGGUUGAAGGGGUAUCCUUCAAUUCUGGCCGUCGCUUAAAUGAAUCGGUGCGCUUGUGUAUAUGGUUAGAUCAUGAUCCAACGACCAGAUUUAAAGGCGCGAGGUGUCGCGACUAGAGCCGUAUAUCGGCCGAUCUACAACUAUCAUUGAAUCGAACGAAUCGUUAUGAGGGAUCUAAUCCUACCCGUCCAUUUUCUAAUCUACGCCACAGAGUUCAUCUUCCCCCAUGCCGGUGCAGACACAGCGGCAGCCAUCGCACCGCGGGGGCGCCAUGGACGGCCAUGACCACACCGGCCCUUUAGUGAGCCAAACUCCACGCUAAGAGCUCCUACACAAUGUGGUAACCAUGGCCAGAUUGAUGGGAGGGGUCUCACCGUCGGUAGAGUUGACGGCGAGCCAUGUUGGCAUCGCAGCACGGUUCCGCCUCGAGGGAUUGGCUCCGGCGAGCAUUUCCCAGCACUUCGACCACCGUUUUCGCCUAGGAAGACCUUCUUCGCGCGCGGCGCUCACCGACGAAGACCCCUAGCUCACUAUUGUGGCUCGUCACCGGUGCACGCGCAAGGUCGUCGAUGGUGGACGUUGAUUUCCCUCUCUCUCACGGUGCUUGCUUUGCGAUAGCUAGGGUUUGGGUAACGGCGCACGUCCACCUUAUAUCGGAA